CCGCUGCUGUCUUCUGCCCGUUCCACGUGCGCGUUGGUCCUUCCGCCGCUAUCUUCUGCCCGUUCCACGUGCGCUCGCUGGCGUCCUCGUGCUGGGCCAUCCGCGUGUCUCCGGCGCGUUCCUCGUGCCCAGAUGCUUCUGGUGCCUCUACGUGUCGGGAGUGUGGGCGCCUGGACAAACUGGCCCCCCCUUCCCCUCUCCCCCUUGCUUCCUGUUUUGGCUUGCAGUCGAUUGGAUCUAGAUUGCCUGGCCCUCUUUCUUCUCUUUGCUUUUUGCCUCUCUGUUGCUUCCGAGUUACGAAGUACUGGAAGAGGAUCCAUUCUGAUAUAAUCUUGCUCAUCGCAUCAGCACAGGAAGAUUUCUUCAGGUUUGCUUCUGCUCGUUAGUGCUGGUUCCUUUGUGUUGUGGGUCUCUCUCAUAUUGGCGCACAGAGGCCAUUUUCCCUGCUUUUGGUGUGCUCCAUUAUCUAUUACAGCGACGGCAUAACACGACGAAAUUUGUUGAAGUUUGCUUCUACUCAUUAGUUCUGGUUCCUUUGUGUUGUGGAUCUUUCUGUUAUUGGGUCUGCAACAAUUGUGACACAGAGUUCAUCUUCUUUGCUUUUGGUAAGUGAUGUGUUCUCCUUUUAGUGUUGACAGGCAAUUUAUUUAGAGUCAUAUUAUUUGAAGAUGUUAAUAUUUAUUAUUGUGUGCAUUCUAUUAUUGUCCCUAUUUAAAUACUUAUCUAUAUUGCAUUGCCCUGCUACGCGUAUAACUAUUACUGAUAGAUUUUCCUUUUUUUCCCCUCUUUUUUUAUUAAAAAUUUUCCUCCCCUCCCCUUUUGCUUGUUUUGCUCCUUUUUCUUCCUUUCCCGUCCACUCUGCUUACGUUCUUAAUCACAAUGUUUUCCCUAUUUUCUGUUUCUCCUUCCACUGCUCCAUGCCGCGGGAAAAAUUGCUAACAAUAAUAAUAAUGACAAAAAUAAUCGUUGGCGGGGAAUGAAAAACAUAGAAAGGCACUGUCGGACAAAGUAAUCUAGAAUAACUACAUGUUUACGGUUGGAGCUUCUUAUAUCUCCCUUUUACAAGCUGUGGCGGUUAAAUGCUGCUUGCCAUACGCUUCGUUACUCUGUGAAGUAGUCGACGAUGGAACCGUACUUUGUGGAGUAGAAAUUGAAUUGCCCCUCUUGAGUUUUCAGACCAGCCCGCGGCAGCUCUUUUUCUGGUCAUGUGCUGACAUAGGGUGUACAGCCGCUUAUGAGGAGGCUGCUCUUCAGGCUGUCACCUG